GGCAGCAGUCAUAUCACCCUGCAACUCACAAACUGGCAACCCACUGAAGCUAAGCAGGUGUGAGCCUGGUCAGUACCAAGAUGGGAAACCUCCUGGGAAAAACUAAGAUUGCUGCUG
rnacentral:rRNA from 1 species